rnacentral:lncRNA from 1 species
AGUCCCAUACAUAAAAUGGUCCAGUGCAAAGAAUACAAUUGGCUGCCCAUACCACAGGUUUUGUAUUUGCAGAUUCAAUGAUCCACGGAGGUCUGACUGAAAUGGUGAAAAUCUCCAUUUAAAGGGUUGCUCCUGUGUGCCAGAUACUGAGCUAGAAAUACAUCCAGUCAUUUGACAAAUAUUUAUAGAGUUCCAGGUAUCAUUCAAAGUGUUGUGGAUAAAGUCUAUGAAUUCUCAGGCCUCACUGAUCUUACCUUCUAGGAGGAAAAGAGAAAAUAAAUGAAAUAAAUGAAUAGAAUAUAUUGGAUCUCCCUUAGCUCUUCUCUCCUAGAAAACAGAGGCUGGAGGCCAGACUAGGGAGAAUAUUCUUGUAAGGACAUUGGCUUUGACCUGGCAUGAGGUGAGAAGCCAUUGGAGGGAGGUCUCAGGGGCAGAGGAGUGAUAUUUUCUGACUUAGGUCUUCACUAGAUCAUGAUAAUCCUGCAAAGUCAGUAAUUCAGGCUCAAGAAAUGGGAUAAUUUCUAUAUGUAUAACUAAAUCACUUUGCUGCACACCUGAAUCACUGCAAAUCAACCCCACUUUUAUUAAACUACUUCAACUUUUUUUUAAAAAAAGCAAAAAAUAAAAAUUUUAAGAAAAGGAAUGGGAUAAUUUCCCAAAGGUUACAUGGGGAGAAGUUGGUGUAACUUGGAUUUGCCCCAGGUGCUCUUACUCUGAAAUCCUUGCUUUAUCUACCAGAACUAUUUCCUCCUAAAUAUAUUCGUUGCAAAGUAUUUAUUCUAUGUAUCUUUUUUUCAUGUCUUCUUUCAAGCUUACAUGGAGAGUUAAACUAUGUUGGGUUUGUAUACUUUUCUUCAUUCCAAAAAUAUUUAUUCAUUGCCUGCUAUGUGUGUGGCACCACGAAAGGUACUUUGGGAAAUAAAAGAGGGGGCAGACCGGUCCCUACUCUCAGGUUUAUAGAGGAGCUAUUGAGAGAAGAGAGAAUUUAUAUUUAAAUUAUUUUAAUCCAACGAUUUUUACUUUUUUUGGAGGGUGGGCUUUUUGUUUAAUUUUCUCACCUAAAAAAUAUUACUGUUUCUUUGCAAAGAACAGCCCCAUCUGAGAACUGGAAGCAGAAAAUAAGGGAUUCCCUCUUUGAUUUCAUAGAUUUUGACUUGCAGCCUGCCUGUACAGUUAGUGCAUGAAACGAUGGCUCCCUCUGUCCCCAACCCUAAGCCUUGCAAACCCGAUCUGUGAUCAGAAGAUCCAGCUGUGCCCUUGCUAUUUCUCACCUCAUUGCUAGGAAUAAAGAUUCAGCAGCAAUUCCUGCUCAACUGAUAACAUUGCCAGUGACACCUGAGGCAAAGUAAAACCCAGCUCAGCAGUUCUGCAGCUGAGCCUCUGUGGCUUAGAAUUAGUCGAAGCAAAGCUGGUUCCUGAGCUGCCUCCCACUCCACCGCCAUCCCUCACCACUUACUGGGGGUGGGGUGGGGUGGGGGUUCUGCGGCUGUUGGCAGAAAUGUUCAAUAUCCAUCUGUGCUCCCUCGCUUUGAUUAGGAGAUGUGACAAGGCUAAAAAGCAAGUGUUGAAUCAAAUGACUGUUCUCUUUACCUUUGGCCAUAGCCCCUUACAAUAAAUGGCCUGGUGCAAAAAAUACAGUAAGCCCUUUGCAUGCACAUGUUUCAUAUCUGCAGAUUCGAUGAUCCUUGGUGGGGCGGGGGAGGGGGGCAGGGGAGGACGGAGAUUCAAGAGCCCUUGUCCGUCUAUGCUAGAGCCUCAGUAAGGCAUCACGUUUUAGGAGAACCAGCUAUUGAUACAGACUGAGAACACAGGCAUUUGGGAUCUACUUCUGUUGCAAUCUGUCUCUGGACUGUGCCAUCUCCAAGACAUGAUUCAGGAAAGUCAUCUAAUUUUCUAAACAACCAGUGAGAAAAUACCCUGAAUUCUGCCAGAUCCAAGGGUGAAGAUGACUCUUAGGGGAUCUUCAGGUUGUUCUCUCAAAACAAUUGUUUUUUGAUGGCCUCUCAAGUGUACCGGGGAUACAGUGGUGGGCAAGGCAGAUGAGGUCUCUGGUCUGAUGGAACCGAUGUGCUAGGCCUUUGGGCAUAAUGAAUGUAAUAGCGUUUGUGCAGUGUCCAGUGUUCAGCGGGUGUGCCAUGAGCAGUAAUUUCCUCUCUUUCCAGGUAGCGUUCACCAGCUGGAAAUGGCAGUGAGGCCAUACAUCUCUCCACCCACACUCUCAACUGGCUCUUCAAUCCCCCCGGGAUUGUUUUCUUGCAGCAAAACUUUUGCCUUGGUGCACUAGAAAAGGACAUGUGGUUGCUAUUAAUGGGAGCCUGGCUGGAAGAAGCCAUGGCAGACAUCCCUGCAUAUCAGAGUCUAAGCAAGUGUUCCCAAUCCUUUAAGAAAACCAUUACUUGGCUCACUGCAAGCUAAUUGCAUUUGUUCAGUCAUUGUGAAAAUGGAUGCAGAUGGGACUCGGAAGCUAAGAAAUAUCCCACUGUUAAAUCAGAAAUAAAGCCACUUGCUCAGGAGAAACGAUUGCCUGGGAUGAGGUUUUCACCAAGAAGUGGGAAAUUGCUCAGUAAAUUUCUCUUUUCUGCUUAAGUAACUCUUUUAAUUAAUUUUUACUGACCUACUCCUCCUUUAACACAAAAGGUGUGAACAUAUAAAGAAGUGGACUUGUUGACAGUACCUUCCAGAGUCACAAAGCAAAAGUGAAGGUUACAAAUUUGUUCUGUCUCUCCAUCUGGGACAAAGCUUUGUUGCACUGAGAUCUGCAGCUUUGAUAAUAGGCUGCAAUGGAGACAAAGUUGUCAUAUUAUCUUCUUAUUUCUAUGUUGGGGGCGAUAAGAGCUUACUUUUUAAAUAAAAUGCCAUGAUGGGGUUAACAACCAAAAAAAGAUAAGAAUCAAGUUUUAAGUGGGAGAAGUCUAUAACAUUAUGAUAAACAUAUAUGUGAUCUCUCUAUUUAAAGGAGACAGGUUAAACCCCCAGCAGAGUUCUUCUAGUCCUCAAAACUGUUCUUUCUACUGGUUUGAUUAAAUGAUGCCAUACUGUUCUCUUUUCACCAGUAAUUAAACACAAAGCUGUAGUGUCAUUUAAUAACUGUCUUCCAUGUGGUAGAAAUUCUGAUUAGUUUCAGAAUCAGGGAGAGAUAUUAAUCCUGAUUACUGGGAGAGUAAAUGUUCGAGAAAACUGUUGAUCCCUAACAUCGUCCUUAUGGAAAUUUAACGGUAGCCUGAAGAAAAAUGUCCUGUUACUGCCUCAAGUUGCCCAAACUCUGGGACACGCAAGCAUGUGGCCUGGAAGGGAGCAUACUCAGCUUCAGCCAUCUGGGAAGAGAAACCCCCAGCCCACCUUGCCAGCUGGCUGGUCAGCAAAUUGGGCCAAGUGAUUUCCUCAAGUUUGCACCGCUAUUCAGAGCAGCAUCAGAUUAUGAACCUCAGUCCCCUGAACUGGCCAGGGCUGCUUCCAUGUUUUCUGAGGGAUUAUGAUAGUCACUCUUCUUAAGUAUCCCUCAGGACUUGUGGUGAAAGGACACUCAGAAGUCUCAUUAACUCCUAGGUUUGUGGGACAGCUGUCACGAGUUACAUGUUCCAUCUCUAGUGAUUUUCUUUCCAUUUCCAAAAGGAAAGGAAGGCAGUUGCCAAGCUUCCCCAAGGAUCAGGAGAUAAAUGGGUUCUUGCACCUUCCUGAAGGUGCCAGGGCCUUCCAUCAAGAAAAAAAAUGUUCUUUGCUAUGAGCAUUGCACAUGAUAAACAUGGAGUAGAGUCACCCCAGAUAUCCUGUUUUCAUUCCCGAAAGUGAAUGACUGGAUCACAUGGAGGUUCUAGUUUUAAUUUUUUGAGGGCAAGAGGGAUGGUCCUCGAGGACAUUAUGCUGAGGGAAAUGAAUCAAAGACAAAUACUGUAUCACCUCACUUAAAUGUGAAAUAUAAAAAAGCGGUACUCAUAGAAACAGAGAUGCGUGGUGGUUACCAGAGGCCAGGGGAUCCACUUAGAAGAUGAAUAAGUUCUGGGAAUCUCAAGCACAGCAUUGUGAUUAUAGAUAGCAGUACUGUACCACAUUCUUGCAAGUUACUAAGGAAGUAGAUUUUAAAUGUUCUCAUCACAAGAAAAAAAAAAAAAAAGAAAUGGCAAUUAUGUGACAGGAUAGAUGUAUUGGCUAACACCAUGGUAGGAAUUACACUGCAGUGUAUAAAUGUAUCAGAUCAACACCUUGUACACCUUCAACUUAUACAAUGUUCUGUGCCAAUUAGAUCUCAAUAAAGUUGGGAAAAGGAAAGGGAGAAAGACUCUACAAUUUAUAGUAGCACCCGAAAGCACUGAGGUCACAGCAAAGGCUCCUAUGACUGUGGUAGCUGUCCUUGUUUGCCCAGGAGAGAGGAAUUUCCCAGGAAAAUGGAAUCUUUCAGUGCUACAAUUGGGGAAAUUCUGGCCAUCCAGGAAGGAGACGACCACCCUGUCUGUGACAGGAAGGAAAUCUGUAACUUACACACACAUACACACAGGCACACAUGCAUACAUGUGAGGGCACUCUCGCAGACAGGAUUCCUAGGUAGGUGUGACCUUGAAAUAUUUGCCAUUUUGUUAGCAACCUGGAUACUUGAUCAGAAAAAGAUAAAAAAGGGCGUUCCCUGGUGGCCUAGCAGUUAAAGGAUCUGGUGUUGUCACCCCUGUUGCUCAGAUCACUGCCACGGCGCAGGUUUGAUCCUUGGGAACUUCUGUGUACCAUAGGCAUAGCCAAAAAAAAAAAAAGAUAAAAGGCUUUUUUUUUUUGGAAUUCCCCUUGUGGCUCAUUGGUAACGAACUCAACUAGUAACCAUGAGGAUAAUUUGCUAUAAAAGUGGAUGCAUUGACUAUGAUCCCUGGCCUCUCAGUUGUUUAAGGAUCUGGCCGGUGUUGCCAUGAGUUGUGAUUUUGGUCGCAGACAGGGCUUAGCUCUGUUGCUGUGGCUGUGGUGUAGGCCAGCAGCUGUAGUUCUGAUGGGAUCCCUAGCCUGGGAACUUCCAUAUGCCAUAGGUGUGGCUCUAAAAAAAAAAAAAAAAAAAAAAAAAAAA